AUUAGAGAGUUAUCAAGUAAAAUUCUAUCCAUCCGUUAUUUUGACACGUAAACGCUAUUUUUUUACGGUAUAAGUUUUAACGUAUAUGUAAUUUUAGAGUUAUCAAGUGGUCGAAUUUCUGCUUCACGUUAAUAGUUGGCAGCUGUCAGUCAAAUUUCGUAUUUGACAGCAAAAUAAUUAAAUUUGUUUAAAUUUUUUUCUGUUUUUGUUUUCUUUCACCCAAGAUACAUAUUUUGUAAUUUUGCCCCUGUCUUUAAUUUCGAUACCUUAAACCUGAACAAGCCUAAAGGGCUAUUUAUAAACUCACCGUCAACGUCGAACGGCAACAGCACCGUUAACGUCAAAAGAUGGUCUUAUGGGAAACUCAUGCUUCCAUUUAUAAACUUCGUUCGCCGUUGACGUUGACGGUAGGAAGAUUCAUCUUUUUUGGCCGUUAACGGCACGAUCACAGGACAUGAACAAUAAGCUGUAGCGUAGCAUCAUAAAAAAUAAAAACUGACAAGGUUUGUCAAAACAAACUAAAUAAUUAUUUGUUGUUUGUAAAUACAGAAAACAUUCUCAAGUUUUAAAAUACCUCUAAUAUUUAAUAUGGUAUUGGAGUACAGUCAAUUAUAUUUAUGGUAAUGGUAUGCGAAUAUAGAGAUAUCUAUUGAAAACAUUAGGGCAUAGAUCUUAUGCAAAAUUGCGAGUUCCUUUAUAGUCUAUAGCAUAAAGUCCAUAAAGAUUACAAAAGCGCAAGGAAACAAAGAUGCACCAUGAGAUGAAAUUACCAAAAGAAACAGUUAGUGGUAGUAAGAAUACAAAAAACGUUUUGGUAAAAUUUCAAUUUAUUCAUUGAUUUUAGUGGAUGUGAUCCUGAUCGUUUUAGAAAAGGAAAAAAUAAGUUUCAUGCUAGAAUUGAGGCAUCAGAAAGUAACUUACCCUCCUGCAAUCAACAGACACUUUUUUACUGAGCACCCUGGAUAUAAGGACCUUUUUACAACAUUCUUCCAAGUUUAGUGUCAGUCUAUAUAUUUGUGGUUUAUUAAUUCUUAUAAUUGUUUUAUAAGGGACAUUUAAGGCUACAAAGAUAAUUUAAAAAAUGAAGAAGGCAGCAGAACAUCUUCCACUGUCUCUUAUGCACCUAUUGAAAUUAUAUUUGAGGAUGAACCUAUAUAUCAGACACAUCACAAGAUGUGCACACAUUUAUCUCCAGGAAAACCUAGUCUGUUAGUCAUUUUCUUUUAUGUUCAGUACUUAAAAGUGAGUUUUCAUUUCUUACAGUAUCAAUUAGGGCAUUACACUCAAAUUUAAUCACUGCUUCAUAAAAAAUGGUAAGUAGUCUUGUUUCUCAAACACUAUCUUAAAUAAUACAUUUUCUCAAUAUGUUCGUGCAUGCUUGAAGGCAUUGAAUCCUGAAGGUGCUGCUGAGAGAGCGUUCAAGUAUUAUGUAACGUGAUUUUAGACCCACCCUAUGUAAAGCACUGUAAUGGGUGUUUAACUAAUACGUAACCCAAUUUUUGACCUCCCGCAUAAUACUUGAUACGUAAUACUUGAACGACCCUUGAGGCAAGGAAGCAGAUAUGUUCGCGUUUUUUCUUACAUUGUUAUUAAUUUAGUUUGUUGUUUUAAUGUUUUAUAGAUUACUUAGUUUUUUUAUUAAUAAUAAAUAAAACAAUUCAUUGUA